rnacentral:rRNA from 1 species
CACGUAGGUGGUCAUGUAAGUCAGAUGUGAAAGCCCUGGGCUCAACCUAGGAUGUGCAUUUGAAACUGUGUGACUAGAGUACUGUAGAGGGAGGUAGAAUUCCAGGUGUAGCGGUGAAAUGCGUAGAUAUCUGGAGGAAUACCGGUGGCGAAGGCGACCUCCUGGACAGAGACUGACGCUGAGGUGCGAAAGCGUGGGGAGCAAACAG